ACUCCUACGGGAGGCAGCAGUCGGGAAUUUUGGGCAAUGGGCGAAAGCCUGACCCAGCAACGCCGCGUGAAGGAUGAAAUCCCUCGGGAUGUAAACUUCGCAAGAAUGGGAAGAAUUAGCGAGCGCUAACACCGUUCGUGAUGACGGUACCAUUUGUAAGCUCCGGCUAACUCCGUGCCAGCAGCCGCGGUAAUACGGGGGGAGCAAGCGUUGUUCGGAUUUACUGGGCGUAAAGGGCGCGUAGGCGGCCACUGCAAGUCAGUUGUGAAAUCUCCGGGCUUAACUCGGAAAGGUCAAUUGAUACUGCAGGGCUAGAGUGCAGAAGGGGCAACUGGAAUUCUCGGUGUAGCGGUGAAAUGCGUAGAUAUCGAGAGGAACACCUGCGGCGAAGGCGGGUUGCUGGGCUGACACUGACGCUGCAGCGCGAAAGCCAGGGGAGCGAACGGGAUUAGAUACCCCGGUAGUCCUGGCCUUAAACGAUGGAUGCUUGGUGUCUGGAGUUUUAUAGUCUCCGGGUGCCGCAGCUAACGCGUUAAGCAUCCCGCCUGGGGAGUACGGUCGCAAGACUGAAACUCAAAGGAAUU
rnacentral:rRNA from 1 species